GGACGGCUGGCGCGGUGGAGCCUCAGACUACAAGAAUACGACAUCACUGUAACCUACAGGAGACAAUGGGCUGGAAUUGGAAUUGAAACAAAUACUCUCAAUUUCACUAGACGUUGUUCGGCCGCAGCUAGCCCUUCUUUGCCCUACACCGUUUGCUUCAGAUACUGUGCUUCAGGCACAAAAUACAUCAAUAAAAUACGUCACACCACUCUAA